rnacentral:rRNA from 1 species
ACGAACGCUGGCGGCGUGCUUAACCCAUGCAAGUCGAACGGAAAGGCCCUGCUUUUGUGGGGUGCUCGAGUGGCGAACGGGUGAGUAACACGUGAGUAACCUGCCCUUGACUUUGGGAUAACUUCAGGAAACUGGGGCUAAUACCGGAUAGGAGCUCCUGCUGCAUGGUGGGGGUUGGAAAGUUUCGGCGGUUGGGGAUGGACUCGCGGCUUAUCAGCUUGUUGGUGGGGUAGUGGCUUACCAAGGCUUUGACGGGUAGCCGGCCUGAGAGGGUGACCGGCCACAUUGGGACUGAGAUACGGCCCAGACUCCUACGGGAGGCAGCAGUGGGGAAUAUUGCACAAUGGGCGGAAGCCUGAUGCAGCAACGCCGCGUGCGGGAUGACGGCCUUCGGGUUGUAAACCGCUUUCGCCUGUGACGAAGCGUGAGUGACGGUAAUAGGUAAAGAAGCACCGGCUAACUACGUG